UGUAGCCUUAAGUUAAACAAAACUAAUAGUCUUCAAAGCUAUAAUUAUUUUAUGAAUAGGCUUCAGC
rnacentral:tRNA from 1 species